rnacentral:rRNA from 1 species
GACGAACGCUGGCGGCGUGCUUAACACAUGCAAGUCGUGGGGNGGUAGCAAUACCUCACCGGCGAACGGGUGCGUAACACGUGAGCAACAUUCCGAUUUCUGGGGGAUAGCCGGCCCAACGGCCGGGUAAUACCGCAUACGCUCAUCGAGAGGAGUCUCUUGGUGAGGAAACCUCCGGGGGGAAAUCGAGUGGCUCGCGGCCUAUCAGCUAGUUGGCGGGGUAAUGGCCCACCAAGGCGAUGACGGGUAGCUGGUCUGAGAGGAUGGCCAGCCACAUUGGGACUGAGAAACGGCCCAGACUCCUACGGGAGGCAGCAGUGGGGAAUCUUGCGCAAUGGACGAAAGUCUGACGCAGCGACGCCGCGUGCGGGAGGAAGCUCUUCGGGGUGUAAACCGCUGUUGCCGGGAACGAAACUCUGGAUUUCGUCCAGAUUGACGGUACUCGGUGAGGAAGCGCCGGCUAACUCUGUGCCAGCAGCCGCGGUAAUACAGAGGGCGCGAGCGUUGUCCGGAAUCACUGGGCGUAAAGGGCGCGUAGGUGGCCACUAU